AGGCCGCAACAAUUGAUGGAUGGCGAAGGCCGCAGCAGCUCGACUCCUCUUCUCUCUCCCGCCAAGAAGCACCAGAGAGCUGGGGAGGUUCCAGACCUUCACGCAGGUAAAUUGGUGGCAAUUAGCAGCAAUGGACGAGGACAUCAGCUGUGUGCGUCCAUUCUACUUCUCCCCCCUUCAAGAAAUUUCAGGAAUUGCAGAGAGAUUGGAGCUAGCUUUGGCAUGGAGUUGAGCAAAAGAAUAGUCACAGGAAUUUGGGUCUUCUAACUUGCAGCUAGGGUUUCGGUGUACAGAAGAUUCUUACCAAUGGUGAUAACAUGCAACAUGCUACAGGCAGGAA